UGGAUUAUCUACCUCUUUGUGGGGAAUAACUCUGGGAAACCGGAGCUAAUACCGCAUAAGUCCGAGAGGAGAAAGCAGCAAUGCGCAGAGAGAGGAGUCCGCGGCCUAUUAGUUAGUUGGCGGGGUAAAAGCCUACCAAGACAAAGAUCGGUAGCCGGCCUGAGAGGGCACACGGCCACACUGGCACUGAAACACGGGCCAGACUCCUACGGGAGGCAG
rnacentral:rRNA from 1 species